rnacentral:rRNA from 1 species
GAUGAACGCUGGCGGCGUGCCUAAUACAUGCAAGUCGAGCGAACAGACGAGGAGCUUGCUCCUCUGACGUUAGCGGCGGACGGGUGAGUAACACGUGGAUAACCUACCUAUAAGACUGGGAUAACUUCGGGAAACCGGAGCUAAUACCGGAUAAUAUAUUGAACCGCAUGGUUCAAUAGUGAAAGACGGUUUUGCUGUCACUUAUAGAUGGAUCCGCGCCGCAUUAGCUAGUUGGUAAGGUAACGGCUUACCAAGGCAACGAUGCGUAGCCGACCUGAGAGGGUGAUCGGCCACACUGCAACUGAGACACGGUCCAGACUCCUACGGGAGGCAGCAGUAGGGAAUCUUCCGCAAUGGGCGAAAGCUUGACGGAGCAACGCCGCGUGAGUUAUGAAGGUCUUCGGAUCGUAAGACUCUGUUAUUAGGGAAGAACAAAUGUGUAAGUAACUAUGCACGUCUUGACGGUACCUAAUCAGAAAGCCACGGCUAACUACGUG